rnacentral:rRNA from 1 species
AACCAACAGGGAUUGCCUCAGUAACGGCGAGUGAAGCGGCAACAGCUCAAAUUUGAAAUCUGGCCCCCUCGGGGCCCGAGUUGUAAUUUGUAGAGGAUGUUUCGGGUGUGGCUCCGGUCUAAGUUCCUUGGAACAGGACGUCAUAGAGGGUGAGAAUCCCGUAUGUGACUGGCAGCCUACGCCCAUGUGAAACUCCUUCGACGAGUCGAGUUGUUUGGGAAUGCAGCUCAAAAUGGGUGGUAAAUUUCAUCUAAAGCUAAAUAUUGGCCAGAGACCGAUAGCGCACAAGUAGAGUGAUCGAAAGAUGAAAAGCACUUUGGAAAGAGAGUUAAACAGUACGUGAAAUUGUUGAAAGGGAAGCGCUUGCAACCAGACUUGCGUGCGGCCGAUCAUCCGGUGUUCUCACCGGUGCACUCGGUCGUGCUCAGGCCAGCAUCGGUUUCGGCGGCUGGAUAAAGGCCAUGGGAAUGUAGCUCCUCUCGGGGAGUGUUAUAGCCCGUGGUGCAAUGCAGCCCGCUGGGACCGAGGACCGCGCUUCGGCUAGGAUGCUGGCGUAAUGGUUGUAAGCGACCCGUCUUGAAACACGGACCAAGGAGUCUAACAUCUAUGCGAGUGUUUGGGUGUCAAACCCAUACGCGGAAUGAAAGUGAACGGAGGUGAGAACCCUUAAGGGUGCAUCAUCGACCGAUCCUGAUGUCUUCGGAUGGAUUUGAGUAAGAGCAUAGCUGUUGGGACCCGAAAGAUGGUGAACUAUGCCUGAAUAGGGUGAAGCCAGAGGAAACUCUGGUGGAGGCUCGCAGCGGUUCUGACGUGCAAAUCGAUCGUCAAAUUUGGGUAUAGGGCGAAAGACUAA